rnacentral:rRNA from 1 species
GGACUACUAGGGUUUCUAAUCCUGUUUGAUCCCCACGCUUUCGUGCCUCAGUGUCAAUCAUCGUGUAGUGAGCUGCCUUCGCAAUGGGUGUUCUAUGUCAUAUCUAAGCAUUUCACCGCUACAUGACAUAUUCCGCUCACCUCCACGACAUUCAAGGCAGAUAGUAUCAACGGCAGUUUCCGGGUUAAGCCCGGAGAUUUCACCACUGACUUACCUGCCCACCUACGCACCCUUUAAACCCAGUGAAUCCGGAUAACGCUUGCACCCUCCGUAUUACCGCGGCUGCUGGCAC